rnacentral:rRNA from 1 species
UACGUAGGGUGCAAGCGUUGUCCGGAAUUAUUGGGCGUAAAGAGCUCGUAGGCGGUUUGUUGCGUCGGCUGUGAAAUCCCGAGGCCUCAACCGUCGGGUCUGCAGUCGAUACGAGCAAACUAGAGUGUUGCAGGGGAGACUGGAAUUCCUGGUGUAGCGGUGAAAUGCGCAGAUAUCAGGAGGAACACCGGUGGCGAAGGCGGGUCUCUGGGCAACAACAUGACGCUGGAG